ACCACAUAUGGGCCCAGUUAAGCGAGAGGCUUUUAGUGGAGAUUUGGUCCAAUUUCAAUUCGUUGGGGUCUUAAGGGUUCUUUUAAGAAGAGCAUGGAAAAAAAAAGGACGCCCCUCAAUCGAGAGACAUUUCAGUGCAUACACAAGGAAAGUAGAGUUGUUGAAAUGACCUAGUGAUGGCGGUUUUUAUAUCAUGGAGCCUUAAAUUGGGUCGAAAAUAGAUUUAGCACAGAAGGGUUAGUGAGGAAAGUUCUAUUGAGCAAUGAGAAGAAGAAAUGGGGUGUUGUUUCGAACGAGGAGGGUGAGGUGGGUAGCAAUUUUGGAUUAUGACGGAGAGCUACGUAUAGAUGGAGGUCAUUAACAACUCAGGUUUGAACCACAUUCUUCUGAUAUUUUGAGCGAUUUUUGCUUUAAGCUUCCAUCUCUGUUGGAGGUCUUAGAGACUCUGGUCUGGAGAAUGCUUGAAUAGGUGAGGAAAGAGAGAAGAUUGAGCAGACUGAGCUUGUUCCUGGUGCUUGCUUUCAACAUUUGCUGGAUAAAUAUGGGUUUGCGAUUAGGUAAUUUGGUGGGAAAGGAAGUCUCUUUGGAUGGUGGUUAAGGUAACUCUAAGAAGGGACAAAGGGAAUUGGCAAAUUUGCAGCGCUCUAUUGACUAAGAUGGAAAGGGACUGAAAUGGGGUUUUCUUCGGUUGUGCUAGUUAGGUUUUUUGGAUGCGUAAUGAUGCUGAUUGGAAGUGUGAAAAUAAAGGCCAUGGCACAAGCAAAGAGGAGCCCCCACCAUGGCAUCUGAACCUGAUCUUUCAUAAAAAUGCAGAGCACAAGAGAGACUGCAAGUGUCACCCCAAGCAAGAUAUAAAACCACCAAGAAGGUAUAUCCUUGUAUUUCCUCAUCAAUCUGGUAUGAAUAUCUUCCUUGCCUUUGUAAGAAGCACGAAAUCUCUCGUAGAUUUCUCUGUUUAAAUUUCAACAUAAUGUGAGUGCACUUUGGAAAGAAAUUUAAAGAAUGAAAGAAGUGGGGUUUUGAUGA